UACGGGGGGGGCAAGCGUUGUUCGGAAUUACUGGGCGUAAAGGGCUCGUAGGUGGCCAACUAAGUCAGACGUGAAAUCCCCAGGCUUAACCUGGGAACUGCGUCUGAUACUGGAUGGCUUGAAUUCGGGAGAGGGAUGCGGAAUUCCAGGUGUAGCGGUGAAAUGCGUAGAUAUCUGGAGGAACACCGGUGGCGAAGGCGGCAUCCUGGACCGGUAUUGACGCUGAGGCGCGAAAGCCAGGGGAGCAAACGGG
rnacentral:rRNA from 1 species